GCUGUGUGUGGCUCAGUGGUAAAGCACUUGCCUAGCAUGUGUGAGGCACUGGGUUCAAUUCUCAGCACUGCA
rnacentral:tRNA from 1 species